rnacentral:rRNA from 1 species
GACGAACGCUGGCGGCGUGCUUAACACAUGCAAGUCGAACGGAAAGGCCCUGCUUUUGUGGGGUGCUCGAGUGGCGAACGGGUGAGUAACACGUGAUUAACCUUCCCUUGACUUUGGGAUAACUUCAGGAAACUGGGGCUAAUACCGGAUAGGAGCUCCUGCUGCAUGGUGGGGGUUGGAUAGUUUCGGCGGUUGGGGAUGGACUCGCGGCUUAUCAGCUUGUUGGUGGGGUAGUGGCUUACCAAGGCUUUGACGGGUAGCCGGCCUGAGAGGGUGACCGGCCACAUUGGGACUGAGAUACGGCCCAGACUCCUACGGGAGGCAGAAGUGGGGAAAAUUGCACAAUGGGCGGAAGCCUGAUGCAGCAACGCCGGGUGCGGGAUGACGGCCUUCGGGUUGUAAACCGCUUUCGCCUGUGACGAAGCGUGAGUGACGGUAAUGGGUAAAGAAGCACCGGCUAACUACGUG